CACAUGCAAGUCGAGGGGCAGCGGGAUUGAAGCUUGCUUCAAUUGCCGGCGACCGGCGCACGGGUGAGUAACGCGUAUCCAACCUUCCGUACACUCAGGGAUAGCCUUUCGAAAGAAAGAUUAAUACCUGAUGGUAUGAUGAGAUUGCAUGAUAGCAUCAUUAAAGAUUCAUCGGUGUACGAUGGGGAUGCGUUCCAUUAGGUAGUAGGCGGGGUAACGGCCCACCUAGCCUACGAUGGAUAGGGGUUCUGAGAGGAAGGUCCCCCACAUUGGAACUGAGACACGGUCCAAACUCCUACGGGAGGCAGCAGUGAGGAAUAUUGGUCAAUGGACGAGAGUCUGAACCAGCCAAGUAGCGUGAAGGAUGAAGGUCCUACGGAUUGUAAACUUCUUUUAUAAGGGAAUAAAACCUCCCACGUGUGGGAGCUUGUAUGUACCUUAUGAAUAAGCAUCGGCUAACUCCGUGCCAGCAGCCGCGGUAAUACGGAGGAUGCGAGCGUUAUCCGGAUUUAUUGGGUUUAAAGGGAGCGCAGACGGGUCGUUAAGUCAGCUGUGAAAGUUUGGGGCUCAACCUUAAAAUUGCAGUUGAUACUGGCGUCCUUGAGUGCGGUUGAGGUGUGCGGAAUUCGUGGUGUAGCGGUGAAAUGCUUAGAUAUCACGAAGAACUCCGAUUGCGAAGGCAGCACACUAAGCCGUAACUGACGUUCAUGCUCGAAAGUGUGGGUAUCAAACAGGAUUAGAUACCCUGGUAGUCCACACGGUAAACGAUGGAUACUCGCUGUUGGCGAUAUACUGUCGGCGGCUUAGCGAAAGCGUUAAGUAUCCCACCUGGGGAGUACGCCGGCAACGGUGAAACUCAAAGGAAUUGACGGGGGCCCGCACAAGCGGAGGAACAUGUGGUUUAAUUCGAUGAUACGCGAGGAA
rnacentral:rRNA from 1 species